rnacentral:rRNA from 1 species
CCUACGGGUGGCAGCAGUGGGGAAUAUUGCACAAUGGAGGGAACUCUGAUGCAGCGACGCCGCGUGAGUGAAGAAGUAUUUCGUUAUGUAAAGCUCUAUCAGCAGGGAAGAAAGUGACGGUACCUGAAAAAGAAGCUCCGGCUAAAUACGUGCCAGCAGCCGCGGUAAUACGUAUGGAGCAAGCGUUAUCCGGAUUUACUGGGUGUAAAGGGAGCGUAGACGGUUGUGCAAGCCAGAAGUGAAAGCCCGGGGCUCAACCACGGGACUGCAUUUGGAACUGUGUGGCUGGAGUGUCGGAGAGGUAGGCGGAAUUCCUAGUGUAGCGGUGAAAUGCGUAGAUAUUAGGAGGAACACCAGUGGCGAAGGCGGCCUGCUGGACUAUGACUGACGUUGAGGCUCGAAAGCGUGGGGAGCAAACAGGAUUAGAUACCCCGGUAGUC